AUUGAACGCUGGCGGCAGGCCUAACACAUGCAAGUCGAACGGUAACAGGAAGACGCUUGCUUCUUUGCUGACGAGUGGCGGACGGGUGAGUAAUGUCUGGGAAACUGCCUGAUGGAGGGGGAUAACUACUGGAAACGGUAGCUAAUACCGCAUAACGUCGCAAGACCAAAGAGGGGGACCUUCGGGCCUCUUGCCAUCGGAUGUGCCCAGAUGGGAUUAGCUAGUAGGGGGGGUAACGGCUCACCUAGGCGACGAACCCUAGCUGGUCUGAGAGGGUGACCAGCCACACUGGAACUGAGGCACGGUCCAGACUCCUACGGGAGGCAGCAGUGGGGAAUAUUGCACAAUGGGCGAAAGCCUGAUGCAGCCAUGCCGCGUGUAUGAAGAAGGCCUUCGGGUUGUAAAGUACUUUCAGCGGGGAGGAAGGGAGUAAAGUUAAUACCUUUGCUCAUUGACGUUACCCGCAGAAGAAGCACCGGCUAACUCCGUG
rnacentral:rRNA from 1 species